GAUGAAGAACGCAGCGAAAUGCGAUAAGUAAUGUGAAUUGCAGAAUUCAGUGAACCAUCGAAUCUUUGAACGCACAUUGCGCCCGGCAGUAAUCUGCCGGGCAUGCCUGUCCGAGCGUCAUUUCUACCCUCGAGCGAGUCCAGCAUCUAGGUGCUGGGCCUCGCCCGGCGUUGGAGCACUACGGGAAGCCCUGUGCUGUCCCCCGUAGGCCCCGAAAUGAAGUGGCGGUCCUGCCGCGGCGCCCCCUGCGUAGUAAACCAACUCGCACCGGAACCCCGACGUGGCCACGCCGUAAAACACCCAACUUCUGAACGUUGACCUCGAAUCAGGUAGGACUACCCGCUGAACUUAAGCAUAUCAAAGCGGAGGA
rnacentral:misc_RNA from 1 species